CGCCCUUCAUGCUGGCAGCGCCUCCCCCUCCCCGCUAUGAUCUCCUGCUCCAGCUCACUUCAGGUCUGAAGUGUUUCGUGGUCUCUUCCAGUAUGAUCAUACAGUGAGAGUUUCAAGGAAUCUGCAGUCCAGACUCUCCUGUCCAUGCAUCCUAGGAAGAGAUCCCUUAGGAGCAAAGGAGACGGGAUUACUUUCCUGUCUUUCCAUGGGUCCUGCCAGCAGAAGCUAAGGAAGGUGACUGGUUGGCAAGGAGAAGCGUGCUUUGCAGAGUCUCGAUCCUGGCCUCCAACUCGGGUUUGGAAGAAUCUGGAGCUCAGAGACAAGAGCUCCUUUUCCCAGUGGUUUCGUCAAUGGAAUCAAGGCUUCCCCUUGAAACCAGGCAGCCCCAUCACGCCCCAGCAGAAGUGCGUCUGUCUCCAUGGCCACAUCACCCACCAUGCCAGCGGGGGCUCCUCGUUCUGUGGCCCUGAGGUUUGGGUUGAGCUCUCCGGGGACAGGCCAUACCCCUCGGAUGGCCCUGGGUCUGCACUGAGCGG